rnacentral:tRNA from 1 species
UCACGGGUAGCUCAACCGGCAGAGCAGGCGGCUGUUAACCGCCGGCGUGAGGGUUCGACUCCCUCCCCGUGAG